rnacentral:rRNA from 1 species
GAUGAACGCUGGCGGCGUGCCUAAUACAUGCAAGUAGAACGCUGAAGCUUGGUGCUUGCACCGAGCGGAUGAGUUGCGAACGGGUGAGUAACGCGUAGGUAACCUGCCUCUUAGCGGGGGAUAACUAUUGGAAACGAUAGCUAAUACCGCAUAAAAGUCGACAUCGCAUGAUAUUGAUUUGAAAGGUGCAAUUGCAUCACUAAGAGAUGGACCUGCGUUGUAUUAGCUAGUUGGUGAGGUAACGGCUCACCAAGGCGACGAUACAUAGCCGACCUGAGAGGGUGAUCGGCCACACUGGGACUGAGACACGGCCCAGACUCCUACGGGAGGCAGCAGUAGGGAAUCUUCGGCAAUGGGGGCAACCCUGACCGAGCAACGCCGCGUGAGUGAAGAAGGUUUUCGGAUCGUAAAGCUCUGUUGUAAGAGAAGAACGAGUGUGAGAGUGGAAAGUUCACACUGUGACGGUAACUUACCAGAAAGGGACGGCUAACUACGUGCCAGCAGCCGCGGUAAUACGUAGGUCCCGAGCGUUAUCCGGAUUUAUUGGGCGUAAAGCGAGCGCAGGCGGUUAGAUAAGUCUGAAGUUAAAGGCUGUGGCUUAACCAUAGUACGCUUUGGAAACUGUUUAACUUGAGUGCAGAAGGGGAGAGUGGAAUUCCAUGUGUAGCGGUGAAAUGCGUAGAUAUAUGGAGGAACACCGGUGGCGAAAGCGGCUCUCUGGUCUGUAACUGACGCUGAGGCUCGAAAGCGUGGGGAGCAAACAGG